GCCUCCCACAGUGCUUGGAUUACAGGCAUGAGCCACCAUGCCCAGCCGAUAAUUUGCCAUUCUGUAUUUAUUUGCGUGUUAGAGACCAGUUAAAGUUAAGACACUUUCUAAAUAGAAGUCUUGUAUAUGGGGCUUUUGAGAAAGUGUUUUCCCGUGAUGCUGGGGGGAAACACACAUAUUCAAAUUACUUGUAUAAAACAGUUUAUUCUGUGUUUAGGAACUUGUAGGGGUGAAAUGCUGACCUGUGUUACUCUUUCUUUCCAUGAUCAGCGUCCAGAGGACCAGAGGUUAAUUUAUUCUGGGAAGCUGUUGUUGGAUCACCAAUGUCUCAGGGACUUGCUUCCAAAGCAGGAAAAACGGCAUGUUUUGCAUCUGGUGUGCAAUGUGAAGAGUCCUUCAAAAAUGCCAGAAAUCAACGCCAAGGUGUGUCUGCCUCUUCAUGAUGGUAACAAUUUGUAUCAUUCAGACUUUCAGGGGAGUAAUAAAAGAAGUUGGAUAAAACGUUUAUUGA
rnacentral:lncRNA from 10 species